UCCAAAUGCAAAAUUUUUGAAAAUUUUCAUGGACUGGGACCAGCCAACAUUUAUGAGUCCACUAUCACUGUUAAACACAGAUGCAAUUGCUAGCCUUGGCAAAACAAUGCCUAGAAUCAGGCUUUGACCCUGCACCCUAUGAAGAUCAUCACACUCAUGAGCAACCUCAACCAGGUUUUUGAUGGGUGGGAACUACAAGACAACCGCCUAUCUGAAUGGGAUUUUGGUGUCAAUUUUCCACUCCCUCAGACGUUGGUCUAUAGUAGUUCCCAACAAAACGAGGUUGAAUGACACAUGGGAAGCUAUUCUUUGCACAAAUCUUUUGUAGAUGGGAAAGAUACAGAAGCCAUCAUGGAUGACCAUUUCAGUCCUUCCCUCUCCUUAACAUGAUUCAUAUUAGCAUUUAGGGCUGUGUUGGGCUCAAACAACUCCUUCAAACAUUUAAUGCAGGGGAAACUACCAGUUAACCAACAAACGUUAUGCGUGCAGAGUGUGAAAAAAAAAAACAAUAGAUAGACACGCAAUCUGAACUUGACCCAUCAAAUGACGUCUUCUCUCUCUUUAACCCAACUCACAGUGCAUGUCUAUUGGUCUAGAUGCACAAUUAAUCACCUCUUCCUCUGGCAUAAAAAGAUAACCACCCACAUGCCAUGCAACUCUGUUGUGCCAGUAACUACCAAAACACCAACAACAAAGAAGAGUGGAAAGUUGUCACAAGAAACCAGUCUAGAUGGGCUUCCACCUUGAAGUCUCCAGAAUUAAAAAUAGCCUCUAUUUUAUGUCUUUCAGUAAUAUGAUAAUCUUGGUUGACGUUGUGCUUGAAAGAGCCCUUGGGGUUCAAGGCUCCACUUUGGAGAAUAUGUCAUCAAAGCCAGCAACUGCACCUACGCAUACAAUGAAACAGACAACCUCGCUGUACAUCAGUGGCAUGUAAGAGAAUAUUGGAUUUGCCUGCAUUUAUGAAAAUUUUCAAAAUAUAUGUAUUUUGGUUUUCAUAUUUCUCACACUUUUUGGUGCCAUUCAUAAACUAGCAAGCCUACAGUGACAUGUGCUCCCUGUGAAUGGAUGGCUCUUCACAGAAAAUCCCAAAGUCUUUCGUAAGUUUGUUGAAAAUUUGAUUCCAAACAAAUGAAUUAUACCAAAUAAUCUUUUGUAGAUUGUUCUUCUAUAAUGCUUUUAAGUAAUUUUAUAGAUAGAUUAUUUAAUUCAAACACAAAUGAUAACUCGUUGAAGAGAUUUCUGUUAUGGCCAUUUUCCAAAAUUUAAUGUCACUCCCCUUGCACCUUCAAUGAGUUGCCAGCGUUAUUGUUAUAAGUUCAUCAUAGUUGUUGCUCUUGCCCCAUCUGGAGCAAAUUUCCAGAACUGACUACAAUCAUAUGGAAGUAUGAACUGCAUUAAGUACAUGAAAUUGGUCAGAAGCAUGCAUGCAUAAAUAAACACCACAAAAGCACUCUAAACAUUUUCCAAUAUUUUCCAACACCUAGCAACCUAGCUAGCUCCUACUAUAAUCACUAUGGUUUUAUAACAUCUUUUCCUGAUUUAAAGUGAAUAGCAACAGAAACCUCAAAUGGGCAUGAUUGUUUUAAAUCAGCUAUAUCAGAUCUGUAAAAAAUGAUAAUAUCUUAAUGCCUUUCUAAAGAGAUUUAAAUUAAAAUAUUCAUAUAUAGAGAUUUAUUAAUUUAUUUAACAUGUGAUCCAAUCAAAUGCAUCAUAAUUAGCUUAUAUCCUACCUUGCAUAUUUGCUCCUCAGCUUCUCCUUUCCUCUUUCUCUACUUUUGUCUAAACGCAGGAAAGGAAGUGAGGGGUAACAGACAGUUCUAUUUCAAACCAGAACUAUGGGUUGAUGCAACACAUAUUGCUUAAGAGAAGAACUGAAUAGCUUCUAAGCAACACAUAUUGCCAGCCCACUGAAACCAGCUCUUAGGGCAAAUUUAAAAAAAAAAAGAAAAAAAAGAAAAAAAGAGAGGAAACACCAACACCAUCAAGUAGCUUAGAGGAUUAUACUAGUCAUUCAAAGUUAGAAGCACAAUUACUCAAGGAAUUGCUGUGUGGCUUUACAUAUCAAACGAGGCUGCAAUAAAUUUAACUGCUUUACUUCACUUGAAAGAUGCCCAAUAUCACCAUGAAAUUCCCAUACAAAAUAUUAUACAAUAUUCAGCUCCACAUCACUGAUCAGUCGAACAAAUCAGGAAAUAACAAGGAAACAAAAUCCAGGAACAGUUUUCGAAAUAAGUUUUCUAAAGAUUUCAAAAAAGUUACGAACUUUACCCUCUAUGGUGGCCCGUUGCGCCUCACAAACCACGGAUCCACGGCGAAGACCCUUACUAAUCGCCACGUUAGAGGCUGACAGAACCCUUAGACGGCGCGGAGCGAUCCCCAAACCACUAAAUUCCGGCAAGAGCCCCAUUCUGCGGGGGUAAAGAGAGGUGGAAACCGGCGCCGUCGCCACCCGCGGUGCGGAUGCCGCAAUGAUGGUGGGGCGAGGGCGGGGAGCCGCGAGCGACUCCAGAACGGCUGCGGCGGAGGCCAUUGGAGGAGGUAACCCUAAUGAGGGGAAAUGAACGAACCCUAGAGAAGCAAUGAACCCCAGGGUCGUUUGAUUCGAGGGGAGAGAUGAAGAGAUUGCUAUGCGAUGGGGUGAAAUAGAGAAGAUGAGGGAGUGGGAAAGGUGCUGCUGCGGAAUGGAGUGCUGACCGAGUCCGGAUCUCAAAUAAUUGUGAUCG
rnacentral:lncRNA from 1 species